rnacentral:lncRNA from 1 species
AGAGUGGGGUCCAUUAUGCCAUAUAAGUUCAUGCACAUAACAUACUUUGAUCAAUUUCAUUCCCCAUACCUUCCCUUUUCUCUCCCCUCCUCCCUCCCCCAGCUACUUGCUGUAUUCUACUGGGCUCCCUUCCAUUAUUGUUAUUUUAAUUAGGCAGCACCAAGGUUUUAUGGAAAAUUAAAGGGAGCUGCGAUUCAUAAAAUCGGAGCUAAAAUGAUUUGAAGCAGGACAAAAGAAAAAGAAUAAAAUGAAUCAAGAGAAUGGUUUAGGACUAAAGUCAAGAAUGUGUCAAAAGCUUAAAUGAUACUGAUGAGAGCCCGUGUUUUGAAAGCAGAGAGUCAACACAAGACUAUUGGUAAGUUUGAAAAGUAGCCUUG